GACGAACGCUGGCGGCGUGCUUAACACAUGCAAGUCGAACGGAAAGGCCCUGCUUUUGUGGGGUGCUCGAGUGGCGAACGGGUGAGUAACACGUGAGUAACCUGCCCUUGACUUUGGGAUAACUUCAGGAAACUGGGGCUAAUACCGGAUAGGAGCUCCUGCUGCAUGGUGGGGGUUGGAAAGUUUCGGCGGUUGGGGAUGGACUCGCGGCUUAUCAGCUUGUUGGUGGGGUAGUGGCUUACCAAGGCUUUGACGGGUAGCCGGCCUGAGAGGGUGACCGGCCACAUUGGGACUGGGAUACGGCCCAGACUCCUACGGGAGGCAGCAGUGGGGAAUAUUGCACAAUGGGCGGAAGCCUGAUGCAGCAACGCCGCGUGCGGGAUGACGGCCUUCGGGUUGUAAACCGCUUUCGCCUGUGACGAAGCGUGAGUGACGGUAAUCGGUAAAGAAGCACCGGCUAACUACGUG
rnacentral:rRNA from 1 species